rnacentral:lncRNA from 1 species
GUAUCACCCAGACUUACCACAGUAUAGAAUAUUUCCGUCUCUCCAGAAAGUUUCCUCCUGUUUUUUCCCAGGAAAUCCACUAAUGCCCCAGAUGGGACCACUUUAUUUAUUUAUUUUUUCAUUUUAUAUUGGUUCUGUACAACUUCAUAGGACUGAAAUUGCAAAAAGCGUACUCUUUUGUGCCUGGCCUUCUUUAAAUCAGAAAACUGUGAGAUUCAUCCAGCAGCGUUCGGAAGCCAGCUCAGUUGAGGUGGAGAGCCAGUGGUAUUCGUCUCUUCCCAACUCUGCAUUCACUGACUUCCAGUUGGUAGCUGUCAUGGGCUCUGGGGGGAAUAUUUACCUCGUGGAAAUUGGUCAGUAAUGCAUACCACGGUUUUCCCUACCCUGAAGAUCCAGUCGUCAACAAGUCACUGGAUUCAUUCCUGUGGUUGGGUGAAUUGGUAGUGCAAUCCUUCAUAUUGCUGGAAAGUAUUUCUUUGCAUACACUACAAAUUGUUCUUCAAUGUGUUGUGUAGAAACACUACAAAUUAUGUUAUUACACUUGUAUUAUUUCAAGUUUGGGGCAAUUAUAAAUAAAGUGGUUUUGAGUGUUCUUGUGUCAGUCUUUCUGUAAACAUAUGCCUUUAUUUGCUUUGGAUAAAUAUUUACAAGUGAAUUAUGUAUGUGUUUUAUAUGAAAACUAAAUGUUCUAUUACAUCAGCAUCUGUUUUAAAUGAUUUUUAUAUUAAUUAACUUUUUUUGCUCCCUACAUUGACAGAUUUAGGAAGGGUAGCAGAUACACAUUCAAAGAAGAAUGUGGGCCAUCACCAGAGUGUUAAGGAACUUUAAAUUCGCUACUGUGCCAUGUUCUUCAGAUUACAGCAGGAAAGGUUAUACAUUUUCAUAAAAGGUUUUCAUUUAUUUAUAUUAAACAUUUAAAAAAUUAUAAACAUGCAUAUAAAGCCAAAACAAAAUACAAAACAAACAAAAAGUUACAACUCAAUAAAUUAUUAUUAAGUGAUUAUCUGUAUAACCCACUCAGGUCAAGAAAUCGAAUAUUGACAGAUUUUCAAAGAUCCCCUUCAUCUCCUAUCCCAUUAUUAUCUUUUACAUUCUUCUUGAUAGAGAUUACCACAAUUUUGACUUUGUAGUGGCCUCUCUUCACUUUCUUUUAGAGUAUUAUAGCCCACAGGUAUAAUUUUAAA